UACGUAGGGUGCGAGCGUUGUCCGGAAUUAUUGGGCGUAAAGAGCUCGUAGGCGGUGUGUCACGUCGGCCGUGAAAACCUGCAGCUUAACUGUGGGCGUGCGGUCGAUACGGGCAUCACUGGAGUUCGGCAGGGGAGACUGGAAUUCCUGGUGUAGCGGUGAAAUGCGCAGAUAUCAGGAGGAACACCGGUGGCGAAGGCGGGUCUCUGGGACGUUACUGACGCUGAGACGCGAAAGCGUGGGGAGCAAACAGG
rnacentral:rRNA from 1 species